AUAUUACACAUGUCAUAUAUUCUUAUCAGUUUAAUAUUUGAUAUGUAAACUAUCAGAACGCACUAUAUUAACUCAUUUUUUUAAGGAGAAUGUCCGUUAGGGUAGCUUGCUAUCCGGCCUUUGCGCGUUGCUUAGGCAUUGCACUAGUACAGCCCCAGGCUUGGCACACCCAUU
rnacentral:snRNA from 1 species